AAAGCAUCAGUUUAAUAUUUGGCUUGUUAUUCUCUUUUGUACACUGAAAAAAGGCAAUAGGGAGGUUGUUGGAUUUUUAAAUAUGCAUUUCACAUUUCUUACAUGAUUAAUUUAUGCUUUUUAUCUAAACAUAUUUUAAUCAUGUACCAUGUGUUUAUUCUGUAAGGAUGUUCAAUCAUAUAGAAUUAAUCAUGUUGAAGCUAAAUUAAGUAGUUAUGCUUUCUUUAUAAACCCCGCCCCUUUGGGAAGAAAACCUUCGCGUCCAUCGCCAUUUUGUCUCUCGCUGUGGAUGGGAUCUGAGCUCUGCAAUGAGGUGGACUGAAGAAGAAUGGUUCACGGGAGCUAGAGACAGGGCAGAAGAGAGCAAUCAGGUCACAGCAGUCUUCAGGACUGUGAUCAACUUUACCGGGUGUCCAGGUGCUGUACCUGGUAUUGUUUCAGUCACAGUAGCCGACAGGCUUGGAGGAGUGGAGUAAGAAAAAUUAGUGAUAGUGAAGAAAAUGCAGCCGCCACAACCAGCUACAAGACACAGACAUUGUUGACAAGAAUGGACAAUCAACUUCAGUUUGGAGAUAUUAUGGCAAUUUGCAAUCCAACACAACACAGAUGUACACUGUAAACUGUGCAGAUGACUUGUGCCAUUAAAGACAGACAACACCACAAACCUGUUUCAUCAUUUAAACCAAUGUCACUCUUUAGAACGUAAAGAAGCUAAUGAUGAAACAGUCCCAAAUUAGUGUUAGUGGAUGUGGAGCAUCUACAAGCUUCCUGGGGGCUAAGUGAAAACAGGCAAGUAUGUAUCACAACUGAUAGUUUUACAAACUAGUGAUUGACUGAUAUUGAUUUUUUUUUUUUUUUUAUAACCAAUACAGAUUAUUUGCAUGUUUAUGUGCUGAUAACCGAUAUGCAAAACCAAUAGUUAUUUACUGUUAUAAAGUAAACAAAUGACUGAUGGAAGUCCAUACUUCACUUUGAUUGUUCCUCCUUUCAGUCAUCUUAAAAGUGUUGAAAAUUAGCAGUCUUUAAUGUAGAAUGUCUGUUUUUUUCAAAUGGAGAAAAUAAAGGACAGGAGUCUUAAAAAUGUGAUGUGUUGGGAUUUUGAA